CCUAUUCGCACCAUCGUGCCAUUUGCCUCCAUCAGCACCUGGUUCUCAGCACUGGUGUAUAUGCUCAUUAUCCACAGCCACUCCCACCCAGGCCUUCUGGCCAUAAAAGGUGAAAAGCUUUCUGGCAGUGACUUUCUCUCUCUCAGAAGGACCAAGAGCCAGGAAAGUUCCUGGUUGGGGUGACCAAGAUAUGGUCACUACAGAACAGAUGAUUAGAACAGAUAUCAGUCAGUUCACCAGUUUUUUCUAUUCUGUGGGUGGUGAGAGCAAGUCAGGAAGACGUGUGUACAAUGAGAAAAUAAUCAACAGGCACUUUCUGUGGAGACUUGGGGAGAGGACCUGUAAUAAGUGGGAAGAUGACUAUUCCACUGGAAUUGAUGGUUUUGAUAUUAGAGCUGUUGCCUGGGAGGUCCAUUAACACUGCCUGCUCCUGCGUGCCACAGGAGCCGAUGAUGGGAGUCCGGGCAGAGUCCCAUUCGCU